GGGACAACUGACACACUGUCUCCAAUCCCUCUCUCUCUCUCUCUCUCUGGCUCCCUUGUCGACGCCCAACGCAUCGCAUCGUCGAUUCCCAUUUCCUUUGGCGGUGACUGGGUCGCAUCGUGGCGCCUCGAUCUUCUCAGGACCAAUGUGGAGGCGAUUCGUGGUUUGGUGAUGGACGGGACUGCAAAGAGGGAGAGCCAUUUGCCAUCUGCUCGGACUCCUGUGGAAGGGGGAGUUCAGGAUGCUUGUGGUGAUGCAUGCAGCAUCCGUCUUGAACCCCCUCUGCGAAAUUGAUCCUUCAACGGUAUGGUGUCUUUUGUAUUUUUGUUUUUCUUUCUAUUCGUGUAAGUGAUGGUUAACCUUUUUCCUGCCUCUACUCUGUAGGUGUCCUCUUGUCAUUUCCUUGAUUGUUGUUCUUCAGAUUACUUGUUGCAAGUAUGAGUUCCAAUCUACAAUGCAUAUACUCUCGGUUAAUGCCCUUCUUUCUGGUUCAUCGUACAUGUAUUUUGAGCAUGCGUACUAUAGUCUUGUAAAAGUUUUUAAUCGAAAGAUACGGCCAUCAUAUGUUUGUUGUUGUGAUUGGACUACUUGUUUUGAGGUGCCUACUAUGAUAGUAGUUGAACAAGCUUGGUUUUUCUCUUUGGACUCUCUUUGCUUGAUGAUUUAUGUUAGCUAUUAUCCAUGCCAUAUGCUAGGUUUUUUUGUACAAUAUGCUUGAAAUAUCUAUGAUCUCAGUGUUCUUGAGAAAGCUAUGAUUCCUAUUCCUGUUGGAUGUAUUUGUUGAAUGUAUUCGCUGUUUCAAACUCCUUCAUUUUUAAGUUCAAGUUCUCUUCAAUUAUUUCACUACUAGGUGCCAGAGAAAAUCUCGGUGUCCCAUGUGUUGGCGGUCCAUCGGUUUGAAGGAUCCCACCUGGUUCAUAUGAACUGGGUAAUCUUGCAAUGUGUGCUCUAACUGUUGCUAUGGCUAAGAGGUUUUGAUUUCUUUCUGAUGAUUUGUCAGCCAGGAACUACUAGAGGCCGUAGAAAGGGAAAGCAGCAUUAGACUUGAUCGUGCAAGGACCACCACAAUUUUUCAUCAUCCAGUGCAUGGAGAUUUCAAUUUGCAACAUAUUCUUUCUUUCUCGCCUAUUCAUGGCAAUUGCCAGUUGCUGGAAGUGAUGAAGAAUUUGAAGAGCAUAUUAUCCAGCACUUUGUUGCUGCUGCUGCCAUGGGAAGAGCACGCCACAUUGCUUGAAGAGGUCGGCUUAGAUCAGGAUCUCAUGAUCACCUGCCGUAUCUGGUUUUCUCCACAAAUUCAAUUGCAUCGUCUGUGGGCUUAACAUCUUCCUCAGCUCCAAAAGGGGAAAAUGAAAUAGCUCCUGCAACAGUUGUUGCUAACCCGUCAUCUUCAAUAACUAAUCCAGGAGGGGAUUCUGCCGAAGUAACAAAUAUUAUG